rnacentral:rRNA from 1 species
GGUUAAGCGACUAAGCGUACACGGUGGAUGCCCUGGCAGUCAGAGGCGAUGAAGGACGUGCUAAUCUGCGAUAAGCGUCGGUAAGGUGAUAUGAACCGUUAUAACCGGCGAUUUCCGAAUGGGGAAACCCAGUGUGUUUCGACACACUAUCAUUAACUGAAUCCAUAGGUUAAUGAGGCGAACCGGGGGAACUGAAACAUCUAAGUACCCCGAGGAAAAGAAAUCAACCGAGAUUCCCCCAGUAGCGGCGAGCGAACGGGGAGCAGCCCAGAGCCUGAAUCAGUGUGUGUGUUAGUGGAAGCGUCUGGAAAGGCGCGCGAUACAGGGUGACAGCCCCGUACACAAAAAUGCACAUAUUGUGAGCUCGAUGAGUAGGGCGGGACACGUGGUAUCCUGUCUGAAUAUGGGGGGACCAUCCUCCAAGGCUAAAUACUCCUGACUGACCGAUAGUGAACCAGUACCGUGAGGGAAAGGCGAAAAGAACCCCGGCGAGGGGAGUGAAAAAGAACCUGAAACCGUGUACGUACAAGCAGUGGGAGCACGCUUAGGCGUGUGACUGCGUACCUUUUGUAUAAUGGGUCAGCGACUUAUAUUCUGUAGCAAGGUUAACCGAAUAGGGGAGCCGAAGGGAAACCGAGUCUUAACUGGGCGUUAAGUUGCAGGGUAUAGACCCGAAACCCGGUGAUCUAGCCAUGGGCAGGUUGAAGGUUGGGUAACACUAACUGGAGGACCGAACCGACUAAUGUUGAAAAAUUAGCGGAUGACUUGUGGCUGGGGGUGAAAGGCCAAUCAAACCGGGAGAUAGCUGGUUCUCCCCGAAAGCUAUUUAGGUAGCGCCUCGUGAAUUCAUCUCCGGGGGUAGAGCACUGUUUCGGCAAGGGGGUCAUCCCGACUUACCAACCCGAUGCAAACUGCGAAUACCGGAGAAUGUUAUCACGGGAGACACACGGCGGGUGCUAACGUCCGUCGUGAAGAGGGAAACAACCCAGACCGCCAGCUAAGGUCCCAAAGUCAUGGUUAAGUGGGAAACGAUGUGGGAAGGCCCAGACAGCCAGGAUGUUGGCUUAGAAGCAGCCAUCAUUUAAAGAAAGCGUAAUAGCUCACUGGUCGAGUCGGCCUGCGCGGAAGAUGUAACGGGGCUAAACCAUGCACCGAAGCUGCGGCAGCGACACUGUGUGUUGUUGGGUAGGGGAGCGUUCUGUAAGCCUGUGAAGGUGUGCUGUGAGGCAUGCUGGAGGUAUCAGAAGUGCGAAUGCUGACAUAAGUAACGAUAAAGCGGGUGAAAAGCCCGCUCGCCGGAAGACCAAGGGUUCCUGUCCAACGUUAAUCGGGGCAGGGUGAGUCGACCCCUAAGGCGAGGCCGAAAGGCGUAGUCGAUGGGAAACAGGUUAAUAUUCCUGUACUUGGUGUUACUGCGAAGGGGGGACGGAGAAGGCUAUGUUGGCCGGGCGACGGUUGUCCCGGUUUAAGCGUGUAGGCUGGUUUUCCAGGCAAAUCCGGAAAAUCAAGGCUGAGGCGUGAUGACGAGGCACUACGGUGCUGAAGCAACAAAUGCCCUGCUUCCAGGAAAAUCCUCUAAGCAUCAGGUAACAUCAAAUCGUACCCCAAACCGACACAGGUGGUCAGGUAGAGAAUACCAAGGCGCUUGAGAGAACUCGGGUGAAGGAACUAGGCAAAAUGGUGCCGUAACUUCGGGAGAAGGCACGCUGAUAUGUAGGUGAAGCGACUUGCUCGUGGAGCUGAAAUCAGUCGAAGAUACCAGCUGGCUGCAACUGUUUAUUAAAAACACAGCACUGUGCAAACACGAAAGUGGACGUAUACGGUGUGACGCCUGCCCGGUGCCGGAAGGUUAAUUGAUGGGGUCAGCGCAAGCGAAGCUCUUGAUCGAAGCCCCGGUAAACGGCGGCCGUAACUAUAACGGUCCUAAGGUAGCGAAAUUCCUUGUCGGGUAAGUUCCGACCUGCACGAAUGGCGUAAUGAUGGCCAGGCUGUCUCCACCCGAGACUCAGUGAAAUUGAACUCGCUGUGAAGAUGCAGUGUACCCGCGGCAAGACGGAAAGACCCCGUGAACCUUUACUAUAGCUUGACACUGAACAUUGAGCCUUGAUGUGUAGGAUAGGUGGGAGGCUUAGAAGUGUGGACGCCAGUCUGCAUGGAGCCGACCUUGAAAUACCACCCUUUAAUGUUUGAUGUUCUAACGUUGACCCGUAAUCCGGGUUGCGGACAGUGUCUGGUGGGUAGUUUGACUGGGGCGGUCUCCUCCUAAAGAGUAACGGAGGAGCACGAAGGUUGGCUAAUCCUGGUCGGACAUCAGGAGGUUAGUGCAAUGGCAUAAGCCAGCUUGACUGCGAGCGUGACGGCGCGAGCAGGUGCGAAAGCAGGUCAUAGUGAUCCGGUGGUUCUGAAUGGAAGGGCCAUCGCUCAACGGAUAAAAGGUACUCCGGGGAUAACAGGCUGAUACCGCCCAAGAGUUCAUAUCGACGGCGGUGUUUGGCACCUCGAUGUCGGCUCAUCACAUCCUGGGGCUGAAGUAGGUCCCAAGGGUAUGGCUGUUCGCCAUUUAAAGUGGUACGCGAGCUGGGUUUAGAACGUCGUGAGACAGUUCGGUCCCUAUCUGCCGUGGGCGCUGGAGAACUGAGGGGGGCUGCUCCUAGUACGAGAGGACCGGAGUGGACGCAUCACUGGUGUUCGGGUUGUCAUGCCAAUGGCACUGCCCGGUAGCUAAAUGCGGAAGAGAUAAGUGCUGAAAGCAUCUAAGCACGAAACUUGCCCCGAGAUGAGUUCUCCCUGACCCUUUAAGGGUCCUGAAGGAACGUUGAAGACGACGACGUUGAUAGGCCGGGUGUGUAAGCGCAGCGAUGCGUUGAGCUAACCGGUACUAAUGAACCGUGAGGCUUAACCUU